rnacentral:rRNA from 1 species
AUAUCAAUAAGCGGAGGAAAAGAAACCAACAGGGAUUGCCUCAGUAACGGCGAGUGAAGCGGCAACAGCUCAAAUUUGAAAUCUGGCUCCGUCGGGGCCCGAGUUGUAAUUUGUAGAGGAUGCUUCGGGCAAGGCCGUGGUCUAAUUCGCUUGGAACAGCGAGUCGCAGAGGGUGAGAAUCCCGUCUAGGACCGCCGGCCGCGUCCGUGUGAAGCUCCUUCGACGAGUCGAGUUGUUUGGGAAUGCAGCUCUAAAUGGGUGGUAAAUUUCAUCUAAAGCUAAAUAUGGGCCAGAGACCGAUAGCGCACAAGUAGAGUGAUCGAAAGAUGAAAAGCACUUUGAAAAGAGAGUUAAACAGUAUGUGAAAUUGUUGAAAGGGAAGCGCUUGCAAUCAGACUUGCGACGGACGGUUCCCCCGGCCUCCUGGCCGGGCUACUCCGUCACGUCCAGGCCAACAUCGGUUUGGGUGGCCGGUUAAAGACCCCGGGAACGUAUCUACCUCCGGGUCGACUUAUAGCCCGGGGUGCAAUGCGGCCCACCCGGACCGAGGAACGCGCUCCGGCUCGGAUGUUGGCGUAAUCGUUGUAAGCGGCCCGUCUUGAAACACGGACCAAGGAGUCUAACAUCUAUGCGAGUGUUUGGGUGUCAAACCCCUACGCGGAAUGAAAGUGAACGGAGGUAAGAACCCUCCGGGGCGCAUUAUCGACCGAUCCUGAUGUCUUCGGAUGGAUUUGAGUAAGAGCAUAGCUGUUGGGACCCGAAAGAUGGUGAACUAUGCAUGAAUAGGGUGAAGCCAGAGGAAACUCUGGUGGAGGCUCGCAGCGGUUCUGACGUGCAAAUCGAUCGUCAAAUUUGUGCAUAGGGGCGAAAGACUAAUCGAACCAUGGUUCAAACCCCCCCGGGACGACGCCGAUCAGGGUCGACGGGGCCUAUCAGGUGGUUCUCCAUCAGUCCUACGGGGCGACAUCGUCCUUCUGGCGGGGAUCAUCACCCGCAGCGGUCGCAUCGCGGCCGUUCACAGACUACGAGACGGUGGUCAUCUUGACGAGAAGAUGAUGAUGAUAUAGUCGGUCACGGUGGAACGUCUCCACCGUGGGUGUAUGCUGGUAGCUGGUUCCUGU